CUGGCAUUGAUCUCAUUGUCGACGAUCAUCCCCUGUGUUUCAAAGUCAAGAGGGCAUAGUGUUUCGUCGAACCCAUCAAUCUCGUCUCCAGUAUAGUUCCUCUGCUGCGCCCCGUGGCCGGAAUAAUGGAAUACCAUGAAAUCCGUGAAGAAGAAGACAGCAAACUAAAGAAUUUUCCAGCAGCAAAGGCAAAUAUGCUCUCUUACAGCUAAUUACCAUGUUAUGCAAGCUGGCAAGUUGACAUCAAGAAGUCAAACCUUGAAUGAGUCAAGAAAGUCACCAAAUUGGGUAUGAAGAAGAGAGAGAAGAUUACCAGUAAGCAUGAGGAUUGAGGAUUCGGUGAAGUUGAACCUGUUGAUGAGCA